GACGAACGCUGGCGGCGUGCUUAACACAUGCAAGUCGAACGGAAAGGCCCUGCUUUUGUGGGGUGCUCGAGUGGCGAACGGGUGAGUAACACGUGAGUAACCUGCCCUUGACUUUGGGAUAACUUCAGGAAACUGGGGCUAAUACCGGAUAGGAGCUCCUGCUGCAUGGUGGGGGUUGGAAAGUUUCGGCGGUUGGGGAUGGACUCGCGGCUUAUCAGCUUGUUGGUGGGGUAGUGGCUUACCAAGGCUUUGACGGGUAGCCGGCCUGAGAGGGUGACCGGCCACAUUGGGACUGGGAUACGCCCCAGACUCCUCCGGGGGGCAGCAGUGGGGAAUAUUGCACAAUGGGGGGAAGCCGGAUGCAGCAACGCCGCGUGCGGGAUGACGGCCUUCGGGUUGUAAACCGCUUUCGCCUGUGACGAAGCGUGAGUGGCUGUAAUGGGUAAAGAAGCACCGGCUAACUACGU
rnacentral:rRNA from 1 species